GGAAAAAUGCAGGAUGUGAACGAUAUUUCCACAAGGAGACUUGACAGCCCCCCAACGUUCCCCCCCCAUCCCAGUGAGUGGGCAGCCUUUCACGUCAAUAAUGGAUGCUGCAAGACGGAAUGAUGGAUACGGUUGCCAUGACGACAGAUGCAGUGUUACUCAGGCAGGACACGGAGAAGAGCUGGGACCACGUUGCCAAGUAACAGCUGAGCUAUGAAGAGAGGAGGCGAGAAGCGUGGGCAAGCAAGAUGGAAGUGAGUGAGUGGGAAGGGAGAGCGCCGAGGAUAGGGCGACUCGUACAAAGAUGGCGAACAACAAAGAGUGAAGCGAAAAUAGCGCAUUGAGUAAACAACACGCAGUGCGUGUGUGUGUUUGUGUGUGAUUAUUUCUAUUAGGGCUGUCUUUGUGCUCACCUGCUGGACAAUAUACAGUGGGGCAAAAUAGUAUUUAGUCAGCCACCGAUUGUGCAAGUUCUCCCACUUAAAAUGAUGACAGAGGUCUGUAAUUUUCAUCAUAGGUACACUUCAACUGUGAGAGACAGAAUGUGGAAAAUAAAUCCAGGAAUUCACAUUGUAGGAAUUUUAAAGAAUUUAUUUGUAAAUUAUGGUGGAAAAUAAGUAUUUGGUCAACCAUUCAAAGCUUUCACUGAAUGGAAGGAGGUUUUGGCUCAAAAUCUCACGAUACAUGGCCCCAUUCAUUCUUUCCUUAACACGGAUCAAUCGUCCUGUCCCCUUAGCAGAAAAACAGCACCAGAGCAUGAUGUUUCCACCCCCAUGCUUCACAGUAGUUAUGGUGUUCUUGGGAUGCAACUCAGUAUUCUUUUUCCUCCACACACGACAAGUUGAGUUUAUACCAAAAAGUUCUAUUUUGGUUUCAUCUGACCACAUGACAUUCUCCCAAUCCUCUGCUGUAUCAUCCAUGUAUCCAUUUUGGUAUAAACUCAACUCGUCAUGCUGCAGCAAUUGGCGAUCACUCCAGCAGCAGGGAGAGUGGACUCAGGUACCUGUGGGUACUGCCUCUAGAUCAGUGGUUUUUAACCUGGGUUCGAUCGAACCCUAGGGGUUCGGUUAGCCGGCCUCAGGGGUUCGGCGGAGCCUCCGCCACGGAAGUAAAGACACACCCGAAUUAUCGUGUAAAUAAAAACUUCUCCCUGUCGGCAGAUUAUGGAUACCCCUAAACAACGUUCCCUCUAAUUUUCCAUCUGAUUUGCAGGUUUUUUGAUUGAUUGAUUGAAACUUUUACUAGCAGAUUGCAAAGGAAGAGAAUACAUUAUAUGAAACAGUGCAGUUUGCACAGUACAGUACAUAUUCCGUACAAUUUGUACAACACCUGAAUAAGUUUUUCAACUUGUUUAAGUCGGGGUCCACAUUAAUCAAUUCAUGGUAAUGUGUGUAAGGUGUGUAUUUUGUUGUGAAAUCAUGCACUGUGUUGGUUUUGUUCUGUGAACAAGUUGAUGUUCAUGCAUGGUUCAUUUUGUGCACCAAUAAAAAAAA